GACGAACGCUGGCGGCGUGCUUAACACAUGCAAGUCGAACGGAAAGGCCCUGCUUUUGUGGGGUGCUCGAGUGGCGAACGGGUGAGUAACACGUGAGUAACCUGCCCUUGACUUUGGGAUAACUUCAGGAAACUGGGGCUAAUACCGGAUAGGAGCUCCUGCUGCAUGUUGGGGGUUGGAAAGUUUCGGCGGUUGGGGAUGGACUCGCGGCUUAUCCGCUUGUUGGUGGGGUAGUGGCUUACCAAGGCUUUGACGGGUAGCCGGCCUGAGAGGGUGACCGGCCACAUUGGGACUAAGAUACGGCCCAGACUCCUACGGGAGGCAGCAGUGGGGAAUAUUGCACAAUGGGCGGAAGCCUGAUGCAGCAACGCCGCGUGCGGGAUGACGGCCUUCGGGUUGUAAACCGCUUUCGCCUGUGACGAAGCGUGAGUGACGGUAAUGGGUAAAGAAGCACCGGCUAACUACGUG
rnacentral:rRNA from 1 species